rnacentral:rRNA from 1 species
GCGGUGAAAUGCGUAGAAAUCGGGAGGAACACCAGUGGCGAAGGCGGCCUCCUGGGCUGCUCCUGACGCUGAAGGCGAAAGCUAGGGGAGCGAACGGGAUUAGAAACCCCGGUAGUCCUAGCCGUAAACGAUGGAUGCUGGGUGUGGGGGGUAUAGAUUCCCUCCGUGCCGAAGCUAACGCGUUAAGCAUCCCGCCUGGGGACUACGGCCGCAAGGCUAAAACUCAAACGAAUUGACGGGUCCCCGCACAAGCAGCGGAGCGUGUGGUUUAAUUCGAUGCUACACGAAGAACCUUACCUGGGUUUGACAUGCAAGUAGUAGUGAAGCGAAAGCGGAACGACCCUUCGGGGAGCUUGCACAGGUGCUGCAUGGCUGUCGUCAGCUCGUGCCGUGAGGUGUCGGGUUAAGUCCCGUAACGAGCGCAACCCUUGCCCUUAGUUAUACGUGUCUAAGGGGACUGCCCGGGACAACUGGGAGGAAGGUGGGGAUGACGUCAAGUCAGCAUGGCCUUUAUAUCCAGGGCGACACACACGCUACAAUGGCCGGUACAAUGGGUUGCCAAGCCGUGAGGCGGAGCCAAUCCCGCAAAGCCGGUCUAAGUUCGGAUUGUGGGCUGCAACUCGCCCACAUGAAGCUGGAGUUGCUAGUAACCGCGCGUCAGCCAUAGUGCGGUGAAUACGUUCCCGGGGAUGUACACACCGCCCGUCACGUCAUGGAAG